UUGAGGUCGAUAGAGCGAUUGAAAUCAGCUGGCUGGACGUGGGACGCAUCCCGGAACGGCGAGCAAGUGCAGUUCUUGCCAGAAGCGGCUCCUGUGAGGAUCAGGGUGCAGAGCUGGGUCUUCGGCAUCAGACUUUUGUGAUGGGUUUAGGAUUUGAGGACCGCUCCAUCUCUCAGAAGAAAUGUCCGCCCCAGACGAAGGAGAUGUGAACGGUCCCACCCAGAACCCAACUUCAUCUUGACCCCUAUUCUGGGAGGUCUCCUGCUCCCUAUCUCUUCAUUUCUUCUCAUUGGACCCGGAAUCGAUUGCCUCUGUACACAGUUGCACCUUUGAUGUCGUUGCCGAGCCCAGGUAAAUGGAACAUUUAUUUCUUUGUACGUUCACUUACUCAUUUGAGAAAUGUUUACUGAGCAGCUACUACAGAUCAGGAACCACCGACACGCGCCCUCAGCAUCUUGGGAUCAGUGUCCAAACUGGUGUGUAGGCUGGGCUGCUUAUAUACCCUGCUGGUCACAUGGGAGAUUCCUGCUCUGUAACCAUCCCAAAGGCAGAGCCCAAGGGGGUUUCACUGAGACAAGGUACACAUCACUAGUCUCACAGGUGACAAUGAACAACACUGACAGGCUGGCAGUGACAAGCUUCCCUGAAACUUGCCUUGGCUCCGUGGUUACAAAGCAGCGCUAUUAGAACAUUAUUAUGUCUUGAACAGAGGCCAGUGCUGCGCAGGCACAUCUCUCACUUUAGCAGCUCAUCCAGGCCCACGGGAGUUAACCCUGGAGCCCCUCGGA